AUCUAUGAGGUGCAGGAUCUUGGACCAAUGUUGAUUCACUAUGGGCAGAGCUACCCAGUGUGACACCAUGGAAACAGAAGCCAAACACCUGGCAAAAUGUCCUGUCGGCAGGUUAGGACAAAACUCCAAGACUUAAUGUUGUACUUUUAGGGGUACAACAGCUUGUCACUGGGGCAAGGACAUCUUUGUACCUUAUUUACUCCUAAAAGGUUCAUAGUAUACCUUAAGGGUAAAUACCUUAUAUUUACUAAUCUAAAGAACCUUUUAGGGAUAGGUAAGGUACAAAGUUGUCUUUUUAAGGGUACCGCGCCAGUGACAAGCUGUUGUAACCCUAGGGAACCAUUUUUAGAACAGCAACAGUGAAUAUGCUGUUUCUUGCAUGUGUGUUGUGUGAUAGCCACACUUGUACAGUAUAAUAUAAUCAGAAACAAUGUGUUAAAAUUUGUAGGGUUCCCACAUUAACCAUUUCCUCUUUCCACUGUGACAGGGAAUAUCAGCACGUUUGAAAGUAUUCAAGUCCUCAUCACAAUAUCAGAGAGAACAUGUGGACACUCCACCAAAACCCUCCUGCAUUUUUGAUGACUCAACUUUCUGUCCUCUUCCAGAGAUGAAGUGACUCAUAAGGAGAGAAAUGGCGACCAACAACAAUUCGGCCUCAUUAAGACAACAUGUCUAAUAUUCAGCCCUCCGUAUAUUCAUCAGAUUGGACAGACUGCAUCAACUCGGCUCAUUUCUGCAUUUUUAAUUGUUGUUUUUUACCCAGAGCUCAUCCUUGGGGAGGCAGUCCAGUCUCUCUAAAAGGCAGAUGAACUUCUGGUCGUGUGUUUCUGCCGUAUAUGAAAUUUAAUGGUGUCACAUGGACGUUGAGAAGAAAAAAUCAGCUUAAAUUACACCAAUAAGGUUAGCAGGUAAUUCUGUCACACUACUCUCAUGCCAACACAUAUAAACUUUACAUUUUUUUGGCUAGGAAUGUUCAAUGCAAUAUAU
rnacentral:lncRNA from 1 species